rnacentral:RNase_P_RNA from 1 species
GCGAGGAGGAGCCCAGUUUUCUCUGCAACCGAGCUGGUGAAAAACCCAAAAAGCAGAGGGGAGGGUCUGGGGCGCUGUAAGAAAAAGAAAUAAAAUAUAAAUAGUUUUAUAUUUAUUCUUUUUCGCCUUCUGCGGGGUGGUCUGAGAAGACUACAAGUUUUCUAACAGAAAGCCUUAGUUGCUGCGCUGCUGCAGCUGCUGCUGCAGCAGCUGCUCUCGCUGCUGCUGCUGCUGUGGGGUCUGCGAGUUGCAGCAACAGCAGCACCAGCAGCGGCAGCAGCAGCAGCACUAAUUGCAAAGGAAACAAGCGUGAGGGCGGCUUUACUGCGGCAGCAGCAGCAGCAGCGUUCUUGCUGCUGUUGCUGCUGCUGCUGCUGCUAAUGAGUUCAAUAACUGGGUUGCUGCUGCAGCAGCAAACUUUCAAUCCAGACUAUUCCCUCUUCGC